rnacentral:lncRNA from 10 species
AAAAUGCUUUGCCAGCGAGCUCACUGUGCAUAUUUGCUGCUCCACGGAUGCGUCCCAGUUGGGCCAACUUCUGUUCUUGGCUGUUUGAAUAUAUCCUGGCAGCUCAGAGGUGUAAUUUCUCCAAAUGCCGCAUUCCUGCUGAGCCCAUGGGAUGAAUUGUGCAAUUUCGGAAUCUGCAGGAACCACAAGAGAUUGGAUGAGAAGCUGGGGGCAGAGUUCUAACAGCAGCCCAAGCCUCCACAGUGCCAAGAUGGGCCAUCUGCCUGUGAGAAGGGAAAGCUUCCACUUCUCUUAGCAAUGACUCUGGCUUAUUUCUAAUUUAGCAGAAAAAAAAAAAUGAUUCAAGCAAUAUCAUGUGCUUCUAUAUCUUCAAAGCAAUACCACACCAUCAAUUAGCAGCUCAGCGUACCAACAGUUCUAAACUUUUUGCGAGCUUCUUGGAAACAAGAUGUGGAGCUUCAGCAGAAGAAAAUUGGAGAAGAGAAGAUUGGCCUCAGACACUUCCGUCUUCAGACCUGUGCCUCUCCUUUGAGGAUCCCUUCCCCGAAGCUGCCAAGGAGAACCUUCCCUCACAUUGUUCCUCCUUUGUUCCCCGCUCUCCUUUUCCAGGCUGAGAGACCUGGGGCCUUGGAAGCAAGCACACGCUGGCUGAGCUGUGAUUCCUCCAUGUUGAUUAUAAUUUUUAUCACAUUAUAUGGGAUCCCUCUGGUGGUUACUAGGGGAUACGUCAGUUUUGAGAGAUUGGAACCUAACCAAAGAAGCUUCAAAUCUAGAGGAUAAGGGGACUCAGAGUUUACAAGUCACAGCAAGCAGAUGCUGGUCUGCUUUAGGUGCCUCUUACGGGGAUUGUGAGAGGGCUCCUGGGGCCUGAGGAGGGUCUUCUGAGGUGUGAAAGGCUGUACUGGUGGUCCCUGAAAGCCAUCGUCAUUUGUGUGAGGAGGAGUACUGGAGGAGCUGUCUUACCACAUGAAAAACAGCAUGGAGCAUCCCAGCCACAUCAAAGGCACGGUUUGAGCCUUGGGCUGUAGAGGCUCAGAGAGAGUGACAAAUAAGACCCUGGUGAGAGACCAAUGGGGACAGUAUUUCCAGACUUUGGCAUGAAACAGAUUUCUGAGCACCUCAUGAAAUGUCUGCAAGGGCAGCUCCUCAGAGUGACCCUCCCAAAUCAAUCAAAGCUGGCCCCCUAUCUUAAUUAUGACUUACAAAUAGAAGCAUGCACCUGGCUGGAUGCAGUUUGCCACAUGGUUUACAAUAGCGGUAGAAUAAGAAAUAACUUACCAAACGAGUACAUUUUCUUGGCUGGCUGGGGCACUCAGAGUUGACACUGGUAAGGCUCCAUUAAAAUGCCUUUAUGUUCUGAUAUACACAGAUGUGUUAAUUUAUAGCAUAUUCAUCAGAAGACAUAAAUUAAUUGCUCUCUGAUGAAUUUUAUAACACCUCCUUUAUGCCUCUCCACCCUCCCCCUCCAAAGUACACUGAAAAGGUCAACAGCACUAUCGAAUGCAGCACACUUCAACUUCCUUCCAAGCUUAUAAUUAAAGCUAAUUAGUAGCUUUGGUAAUUAGCGCAUGUAAGCUUUCUGCUUUCUGAAUUAAUAAGACUGAGUCAGGUUUUGAGCCAAGUAGACUUUUCACUCACUGGUUCUGAUUCUUGAACUGUGUUUGGCUGGUUAAUUUAAAACAUGUCUGUUGAAAGUGGAAUACUAGAAAGAAAACAUACUUGUGAUGGUCUGCUCUCAAGCCAGUGUGAUUUAUGAACAGGCCAAAGUGGAACUGUUGUCACAAGAGAAAAUCAGAAUGCUCUGGGUUUCCAAUAACUGACCAGUCUCAACCUCUCAGUGUGAAAUGAGUUGUGCCCAGUUACUAUGUCACAUGGACACAACACAACGUCAAGGAUGCCCUUGCACACUUAUGUCACCCUCUCAUAACACAUCUGUACUAAGCACAUCAAAUCCUCUUUAUUUUAGGAGAAUGCAGAGGCAAUGGCAGUGGGGUGCCAAGAUAUAACUAACUGCUCAUUUUGAUUCAAAUAAAAAUCAAAGAGGAGAAAAAUCAUUAGUCAAAUCAGCUUCUGCUUUUGUGUAGACAAAGUGAUUCUCCAAAUAGCUUCGUGUUUCUUUUUUUAGCCAGCAUGUGGGCAUCCUGCAUGCCCAGACAGAAUUAAAAGUGCAUGUUUUAAAAUCAAGAAAUCAAAUCUAUAUUCUAUUAAAAGAAAAAAUGUGAUUUGUUUUCAGACUUUAGAAACAGUUGGGAUAAAAAUUUCCACGGGUGAGCUCAUUUGCUUUUUCUUUUCCCAUACUAAUCUCAGAAAAUUUAUUUUUGUUUUUUAAAGAAAGAAAGGAAGGAAGAAAAAGAAAAUCACUUAGUGAUUUACUGGACUCCUUAUAAGUCCAGGACAAUGGUGGGGGUUGCUCACAGCGCUAGUAAUUUUGAUACAUAAAGAAAAGGAAACAGUCACUGCUGCAGAGAGAGGAAUAUAUAAGACAGCUCUGGGUCACUAGAGUAAAUGGUUUUCAUUUUAAUGGCGCACUUACUGCCACUGUGAUAGCCACAUUUGGAUCUGUAAGGGGCAGUUAAUACUAUUCAAGAGCAAGGCACAUUUGGUCUUGUGGAUGGCUGUGAUUGUGAAGGUGACAAGGGGUUAUGGAUUCCCACAGCCUCACAGGCCCAGCUGAAUAGGAAGCCUUGUGCCCCCUUGGCAGCUCAUCCUACCCCGUGGCAGCUCAUCCUACCUAGGUGGAUACACUCCAGUAAGAUCUAUACACAGUGGUUCUCAACUGGGGGAGAUUCUGCCCCCAGGGGAUACUUGGCAAUGUUUGGCACAGUUUUGAUUGUCAUAACUGGUGGGAGAGGGUAGAUGCUACUGGCAUCUAGUGAGCAGAGACUAGGAAUGUUGCCAAACGAUCAGCCAUGCACACGACAGUCACUCCUCAACAAAGAUGAUCUGGCCCCACAGGAUACUAGUGCCAAUGUCAUGGAACCCUGAUACAGAAGGUCUAAACAGGGUCUGAGGCCCUCCUUGUCUUUGAGGAAGAGUUAAAUGUUAGCUUUCCAGAUUGACUCUGGACUGAUCUUGGCCUUAUACAAGUCAGAAAGAAGUGAGUGAUAGCUCACCCACAGGGGCUAGAUCUGAGUCAGACUGGAAGAAGUCGGCACACUCAGGGUAACGGCAGCUGCCUAAAAGCCAAGCGCUGGGCAUUUUUAUGUUGCAGCUAAGGCCAGCAUGCUGCAUUAUGGAUGAGCUCAUGUGCCAUGGCAAACAGUUUAAGAACGAUGCUUAUAUUUAAUGAAUCCUAAAUGGUUUAUUACAGAGGGUCAAGUUUCUGCUUCCUGUGGGAAUUUGACAUUUAUGAAAAUGCACGCACAUUAAUUAUUCAGUGGAGACGUCCUUCCUAUGGAAAUUCACUUUCCUGUACACUCGACAGGACUACAUUCCCUGUCUGCAUGGGCUACUUUGUUGUUAAUCCUCUAAGCAUUAAUUAAAUAAAAUUUGCAACCGAGCCAGGAUGCAUCUACCCUCAAAUGUUAUGCAAAAGACAGUUAAAUGCUGUUUGAUUUUUCCUGCUAGUAGCCAAUCAUUACCCAUAGCUAUUUAUGUUCUUCCUUUUGUUCUUUAAAGCAUAAACCUGGUAUCUCUUCCCACUGAGAAGAAAACUACGCUCAGUAAUUAAAUUACACCACAUUAAACUUACUUAAGUUCACCAGCAGGGAAAAUUCCGUGCCCCUGGGUUUAACAGUAAGUCCUAAUCACGCUUGCAAGCCAUAUCUUUUCUGUGAGUUGUUAUAGUUUUCAUUCCUGGAAUUCCAUUAAAAAUGGUAAUGUCAUUACUCCUGUUACUGCUCAAAACCAACAGCAUAAUCCUGAAUUUUAAUUAGUAAUUACAAUUAAUCAUUAUUUCAUUAAUGAAAUGUUUAGUUGGUAAUUGUCUUUGAGCACCUUACUCCCUAGGCUUAUAAGCAUUUCAUAACAUCUAAUUUGUUGCCUGUUUCUGAUGAAGUGGCACUGUCAACCUUAUUUUAUGUUAACACUUUGAUGGGGCUCUGCAUCCCAGGCCUGCACCACCGGCUGCAUAUUUACACCUUGGAAAUGUGUGGCUUCUGGCUCUCGAUAAGGUUCGCCUGAGGACGUACCCUCGCAUUCUUUCCUGCCAGCUUAAGAAGGCGACUGUUUGUGCUCCCAGAGAGCACAGCAUGUGAAGAGAGAAAUAAUAAUUCCUGGAACGCUUACUUAAUAAUAAAUCUGGGAUCCAAAUUCAUGGAUUUUUGAGAGGGGAUAGAGCAAGGAUUUGGAGGUAGUCUUUGGAACAGGAAGGUUGAUUUUAAAAGAGCUUAAAGAAUUAAGAAUAAGCUGGGAGGGUUGUCAAGAAUUUAACACGAGGCAAGAUUUUUGUUGAUCCUUUUGCAAUAGCAAAGAUAUUCUUAUUUAUUAGGAUGGUUUUUUAGGGGUGAGGGGAAGCUUGUCUUCCCCACCAAAAGGUCAGGGACCCAAGUAUGCCUUGCACACAGUUGUAUUCCUAGCUCCUGGUGCGGGGUUGGGCAUACACGUGACUCAAUAAACAGCUAGAUAAGUCAUUGUUCCUGCAUGGCCUAUGGUUAGGCUAUGAAGGGGGUAACUGAGGUACAAGAGUUAAUGGUGGUUUGGUGAUGGUAGCAGGGUGUGGGAUGCUAGGAGAUGCCAAAUCAGUGGGCUGGUGUGCUCACAAAUGACCUGAUGUCAUAGUUGUCUGUCACUGACAAUUCUAAAAGGACGGAUUCAUCCGACUGCCCUCUAUGUAAAAAAAUUUACACAUACACACACACACACACACACACACACACACCCGACGGUGAAUUAUUCAGGGAGGAGAAAGCCUGCUAUCCUUGGCAAAUUAAACAAGGAGGAUUUGAGCAAAGAAAAGAUGUGCUGCUGUUAUUUCAAGGAAGUAUUCACAGCUUCAGAAUUAAAACUGAGAUGGAACAACAUCAGACUUGUUGGAAAAUGCUCCGCGUCUGUGGUGUAUUUCAGACAAGUUAGUCAGAAAAUUCAAAAUAUCUGGAAGAAAUAAAUGACGGCCAACAGUUUGGUGUUGGCCACCAGGUGCCAGAGCACGUAUGGUCUUGGCCUAAGGUGAGUGAAAGACAGGUUUCUGGGUCAAGACAGGUGUUUCCAAAUGGCAAUUUUUGAGGCUGCUGACAUUUUACAAAAUAAAAGAAUGUGAUAAAGCUUAAGUUUUUGGUUGUAUUUUAUAAAUGUCUAUAUUUAAGAAGUUCAUGCUUUAGCACACAUAAGACAUUCAACAAGUCAUUUGGAAAUAACAUCAAAUGUCGAAAUUUGAGACCCU